UACGAAGGGGGCAAGCGUUGUUCGGAAUCACUGGGCGUAAAGCGCGCGCAGGUGGUUAUGUAAGUUUGGUGUGAAAUCCCUGGGCUCAACCCAGGAAUGGCAUUGAAUACUGCAUGACUAGAGGGCGAGAGGGAGAGAUGGAAUGGCGAGUGGAGCAGUGAAAUGCGUUGAUAUUCGUUGGAACACCGGAGGCGAAGGCGAUCUCUUGGCUCGCAACUGACACUGAGGCGCGAAAGCGUGGGGAGCAAACAGG
rnacentral:rRNA from 1 species